UACGUAGGGUGCAAGCGUUAAUCGGAAUUACUGGGCGUAAAGCGUGCGCAGGCGGUCUUGCAAGACAGAUGUGAAAUCCCCGGGCUCAACCUGGGAACUGCAUUUGUGACUGCAAGGCUGGAGUGCGGCAGAGGGGGAUGGAAUUCCGCGUGUAGCAGUGAAAUGCGUAGAUAUGCGGAGGAACACCGAUGGCGAAGGCAAUCCCCUGGGCCUGCACUGACGCUCACGCACGAAAGCGUGGGGAGCAAACAGG
rnacentral:rRNA from 1 species